UGGGGAAUAUUGCACAAUGGGCGCAAGCCUGAUGCAGCCAUGCCGCGUGUGUGAAGAAGGCCUUCGGGUUGUAAAGCACUUUCAGCGGGGAGGAAGGCGAUAAGGUUAAUAACCUUGUCGAUUGACGUUACCCGCAGAAGAAGCACCGGCUAACUCCGUGCCAGCAGCCGCGGUAAUACGGAGGGUGCAAGCGUUAAUCGGAAUUACUGGGCGUAAAGCGCACGCAGGCGGUCUGUCAAGUCGGAUGUGAAAUCCCCGGGCUCAACCUGGGAACUGCAUUCGAAACUGGCAGGCUAGAGUCUUGUAGAGGGGGGUAGAAUUCCAGGUGUAGCGGUGAAAUGCGUAGAGAUCUGGAGGAAUACCGGUGGCGAAGGCGGCGCCCUGGACAAAGACUGACGCUCAGGUGCGAAAGCGUGGGGAGCAAACAGG
rnacentral:rRNA from 1 species